rnacentral:rRNA from 1 species
GACGAACGCUGGCGGCGUGCUUAACACAUGCAAGUCGUACGGUAAGGCCCUUUCGGGGGUACACGAGUGGCGAACGGGUGAGUAACACGUGAGUAACCUGCCCACAACUUUGGGAUAACGCUAGGAAACUGGUGCUAAUACUGGAUAUGUGCUCCUGCUGCAUGGUGGGGGUUGGAAAGCUCCGGCGGUUGUGGAUGGACUCGCGGCCUAUCAGCUUGUUGGUGGGGUAGUGGCCUACCAAGGCGGCGACGGGUAGCCGGCCUGAGAGGGUGACCGGCCACAUUGGGACUGGGAUACGGCCCAGACUCCUACGGGAGGCAGCAGUGGGGAAUAUUGCACAAUGGGCGCGAGCCUGAUGCAGCAACGCCGCGUGCGGGAAGGCGGCCUUCGGGUUGGAAACCGCUUUCAGCAGGGACGAAGCUUUUUGUGACGGUACCUGCAGAAGAAGCACCGGCUAACUACGUG